UCAGGGAUGACUGACUGCCUCUCCCUCUUGUGUGUUCUCCACAGCUGGACCAGUCAGGACUGAGGGCUGAGACGCACCACUGCAGCCACCCACCAGAGCCCAGGGGUCCUGCAAACGCACCAGGGUGCACAAGGACCUGACACACCAGCACAUCAGUGUCCUGCGUGACAUCCAUGAGACCUUGGUGCACAAUGUCUGUGCCAACUUUGAGUGCAGAUUCCAUGGUGACUGGAGGUCUAGUGACAGUACAACAAGAAUGGAAGCGGAGCAUCUGAGAGGGAAAUGAAUAUUAAGGGUAACAUUUCAAAAGGUCUCCAGGCACAAGCUGAAUUUCUCUGGAGAUGCAAACGCCCAUGGAAUCAUCCCAUAACUACAUUAUGGCAACCUCAGGAAUGAAUUACAGCAAUUUAAGAGCAUACAGCAACCAUAUACAAUAAUUAGGCAAAGGAAGUGGGGAAAAAUACUGCAUCCAGUUGAAACGACAAGAAAAAUGUCAAGUAGGAAGAAUGUAAUUACCUAGGCUGAAACCUGGCCAGGAUACUAUUCAUUCUACAAACUUGGCUUCUCUCAGAAUCAAACAACAGAUGUUCCUGUGAACCUCUGUCAGGCAUAAAUACUUUAUUAAUUAAAUUUAUAAGAACUGUU